rnacentral:rRNA from 1 species
GGGUGAGUAACGCGUAUCCAACCUGCCCACCACUUGGGGAUAACCUUGCGAAAGUAAGACUAAUACCCAAUGAUAUCUCUAGAAGGCAUCUGAAAGAGAUUAAAGAUUUAUCGGUGAUGGAUGGGGAUGCGUCUGAUUAGCUUGUUGGCGGGGUAACGGCCCACCAAGGCAACGAUCAGUAGGGGUUCUGAGAGGAAGGUCCCCCGCAUUGGAACUGAGACACGGUCCAAACUCCUACGGGAGGCAGCAGUGAGGAAUAUUGGUCAAUGGACGAGAGUCUGAACCAGCCAAGUAGCGUGCAGGAUGACGGCCCUAUGGGUUGUAAACUGCUUUUAUAAGGGAAUAAAGUGAGUCUCGUGAGACUUUUUGCAUGUACCCUAUGAAUAAGGACCGGCUAAUUCCGUGCCAGCAGCCGCGGUAAUACGGAAGGUCCGGGCGUUAUCCGGAUUUAUUGGGUUUAAAGGGAGCGUAGGCCGGAGAUUAAGCGUGUUGUGAAAUGUAGAUGCUCAACAUCUGAACUGCAGCGCGAACUGGUUUCCUUGAGUACGCACAAAGUGGGCGGAAUUCGUGGUGUAGCGGUGAAAUGCUUAGAUAUCACGAAGAACUCCGAUUGCGAAGGCAGCUCACUGGAGCGCAACUGACGCUGAAGCUCGAAAGUGCGGGUAUCGAACAGGAUUAGAUACCCUGGUAGUCCGCACGGUAAACGAUGGAUGCCCGCUGUUGGUCUGAAUAGGUCAGCGGCCAAG